CCUCCGUGUGGCCCAGUUUGCAUGUCAUGUAGAUAUCGGUUCACCACCAUCACGGAGAGGUUCUGCUUAAAAGGGAAUGGGACUGCAUGGGCUGUAGUGAGUGGAACAAGGCUCCCUUUCCACACCCUCUAAAGUCCCUCCCAAGAGCCUUCUCACAUGUGUCGCCACAGAGCGUGCGAUCGGCGGGGAGCUGUGGCUGACCACGGUUUCCCAGAUGAGUGCACCUGGAUGAGGAGUGCGUUUUCUUGGGUUGCAACCACAUAAGAAAGAAAGAAAUAACAGCCCCACCUCAGAGGCUGCUCCUUGGCUUCCCUGCCCUGCUUCCUCCAGGCGCUUCCUCCCGAGUAGAGAAGGCAGGCCUGGGAACCCCCAAACACCCGUUGGGCUGGAAAACAAACUAGCAUGAACCAGCAAUUCAUGCCCAUAUCUCGUGGUAACCAUUGUUCACUGCAUCCUAUGCAAAAUUAUUCAGAAGCACAUAUUUAUUCAAUGUGUUUUGCUCUCAGGGAAGCAUCCAUAGGAGAGGCAGCAGCCUUAAUCUCAAAAUCCAUUCGUCUUUAAAUGCUCUUUUUAAAUCAGCGGUCGACUUCCAUAAAAAGGUUCUCAUGCUGGGAAUAUUUUACCAGGUGGAUCCAGAUGAAGGGUGUGAACAGACAGCAAAAAAAGGAUCCUUGUCUGAUUGCACCAGAAAGGGCUGCUUUAAUGGGAGUUCUCUGCAAACGUACCCCACUCCAUAAGCAUCUUACUGUACCUGUCCAUCACUCCUGCCUAGUCCCCAAAGUCGUAGCUCUACAGCUGGACCAAACAGGCCCAGUUUGAGCAUGGACUGAGGCUGGGCUGGAGGAUGAUGGCCUCUUAUGUCUUGUGAUCGCCAGGAAAUAGCUUGUACCCAACAAGCAGUCCAAAAGAUGAGCGACAGGCCUGUAGGACCACACCCUAAAUUUCCACUGAAAUUAAUGGGGUUUAAGUCCUAAUCACUUCAUCUGGAAGAAGAGGAAGCUCAUAGACAGAGUCAUGGAGCACCAUACCCUGAAAUUUAGCCUAUGUCUGGGCGAGAGCGUUUAAAUACUGUAUUUGGAUGACAUACACGUGCCAGAACCCUUCAUCACUAAGCAGCCUAACCUGUGUGGUUGGGUCAUGCAGGUGAGCUUCAGGAUUCCAGCCGUUGGCCUCUCUGGAAGAGAGAUUUCCAAAAUCUGGUCCAUUCCCUUUCUGUAUGGGUUUUGCAACCUUAAAACACCCCAGGUGUACCUCUGAACGGCGUCAUGUGCGAAAGGGCUCUUAGCUAAAUUUGUCCAAAGUUGCAACUCGGUCAUCAGCAGUAAGCACAGGUCUUGUGGGUGGCUGGCUGGCUUUUUGAAAAGACUUCCUUCACAUCUGGAAACCCUUUUAUUUACCUUCCUUCUCAGGACGUACGAAACUUGACGCUUCUCCCUGGGGCUCCUCAAGAGUUCCACGGCGGGUAACAUUACACGUCUACCUCUGUAUGAAAUUCUAUCAAAAAGGCAGCUAGAAACAUGAGACCUGAGUUUACAUCUACCCUUUCUUUCCACUUGGUAAUUUGUGUUUGUGUUUAUGUUGUUGGAUGUAUACACCGCACCUCUUAAAUUUUCAGAGCAUGACUUAGAAGGCAUAAAUCUUACAUGGACCCAAUUUUUUUUUUUAAAAAAACUAAUUUUAUCUUUAAGUCUAUUGAAAUGAGCUUGCUCUCCCCUGCCCCCCAAAAGUUGCAUUGUGCCUUAUGUAGAUUUUGGCAGUAACUAAGCAAGGAUGGAGACAUUUGGGGACUACAGCAUCCAUCAUCCCUAACUCAAAGCCAUAUUGGCUGGGGUUGAUGGGAAUUUUACUUCAACAGCAUGUGGAAGGCUGAUUUUCUCCCUGGUGAUUUCGAUUUGAACAAGAUUUAGACUUAGCAGCACCUCUUCCAAGGGAGAAGGCCCUUAAAAGGAUGGUUAGAAUGGAGGACUCUAUCCUUCCUGCUAAAGGACAAGUGGCCACUCUGCCCCUGAUCUAGGAGGCAUUCCUCUCGCCUAUAUACAGUGUCACAUGCAUAAGAUAUUUUAGAGAGGAGGGGUGUAUGUAGCCCCACACCAGGCUGAAAUGGUGGCUUGCAGGAAUGGCCUGGAUCUCACACCAUGACAUGGGACCUUUUCCUCAUUUUCUCAUUAGGAAAAAGUGCCAUCCCAUCCUUUUCCCGGAGAACAUUCUAUACCUCAACUGGGAGGGGAAAAAUGAUCUGUAUUAGGACUGUUUGAGAGCAAGAGAGGGAGGGAGGGAGAAAAAUCCAUGCAUAUUCAGAGUUCUAAACAUAUUUGAGAAAUGGCAUGUGGCCAUAUUAAGCACCCUUACCUUAUUAAUGUAAGGCUCACAUUAAUAUUUGAAAUCCCCAAAUGUCUCCAUUUAGCCACCUUGUUCCCCCAGCUUUUGGCUAAAUUGCUCUAGUUUGACUAGUACUUUUUCUAAAAAAGCAGUUCUACCUUAACCCUACGCUUUCCUGACCACUGAAUAUUUGAUACAUAUAUAUCUUUUGCUUUUUCUUUUACUAUUUUUCUCUUUUGCGUGCGAAUACAUUUCAUGAACUUGUUUACAUAAACUAAGGUGUCUUUAUUAUUAAUAAUAAUACUUAGCAAAAAAAAAUACAAAUAAAGGAGAUCUCAGAAUACCCGCUGGUGCUGUA
rnacentral:lncRNA from 1 species